GACGAACGCUGGCGGCGUGCUUAACACAUGCAAGUCGAACGGAAAGGCCUUGCUUUUGUGUUGUGCUCGAGUGGCUAACGGGUGAGUAACUCGUGAGUAACCUGCCCUUCCCUUUGGGAUAACUUCAGGAAACUGGGGCUAAUACCUGAUAGGUGCUCCUUCUGCUUGGUGUGGGUUGGAAAGUUUCGGCGGCUGGGGCUGGUCUCGGGGCUUAUCAGCUUGUUGGUGGGGUAGUGGCUUACCAAGGCUUUGACGGGUAGCCGGCCUGAGAGGGUGACCGGGCACAUUGGGACAGAGGAACGGCCAAGACUGAAACGGGAGGAAGCGGUGGGGAAUAGAGCAAGAUGGGCGGAAGGAGGAAGGAGCAACGUCGGGUGCGGGAGGACGGCCUUCGGGUUGGAAACGGCUUUCGGCUAAGACGAAGAGGGAGUGACGGUAAUGGAUGAGGAAGCAACGGCUAACUACGUG
rnacentral:rRNA from 1 species